GACGAACGCUGGCGGCGUGCCUAAUACAUGCAAGUUGAGCGAUGAAGCUUGGUGCUUGCACCAAUUUGAAGAGCAGCAAACGGGUGAGUAACGCGUGGGGAAUCUGCCUUUGAGCGGGGGACAACAUUUGGAAACGAAUGCUAAUACCGCAUAACAACUUUAAACAUAAGUUUUAAGUUUGAAAGAUGCAAUUGCAUCACUCAAAGAUGAUCCCGCGUUGUAUUAGCUAGUUGGUGAGGUAAAGGCUCACCAAGGCGAUGAUACAUAGCCGACCUGAGAGGGUGAUCGGCCACAUUGGGACUGAGACACGGCCCAAACUCCUACGGGAGGCAGCAGUAGGGAAUCUUCGGCAAUGGACGAAAGUCUGACCGAGCAACGCCGCGUGAGUGAAGAAGGUUUUCGGAUCGUAAAACUCUGUUGGUAGAGAAGAACGUUGGUGAGAGUGGAAAGCUCAUCAAGUGACGGUAACUACCCAGAAAGGGACGGCUAACUACGUG
rnacentral:rRNA from 1 species